CCCCUCUCAGAAUCACAUCUGGAGAGUUUCUAGUACUCUAUCAUUCUUGGCUAUGGGAGGGAGAGUUAAACAGAGGCAUAUCAAUUCCAUUCCUAGCUUGGACAGUGGCUAGUGAGUGGAAGGCAAUUGGCUACAAGU